UAUGAGGCUUCAAAUGAUAUUUUACAAGAUGUAAAAUGACGCAUAAUUUAUGCAGUUUUGGAAGACAUAAAAGCCUAACCUGAGAGGAAAAGAAAAGUCAGAGGGCUAGCUGCAAAACUGUGAAAGGAUAAGAUUCCUCAUCGCUUCCGUUCUUGUGUGUGGAUGGUAAAUCACUUGAUUCGCUUGAUUUCUCCUGUUCUAGGCCAAUAUGGCCGCCGUUGUGGCACCCCGGAAGGCUGAUGCGCAAGAAAGCGAUGUGGAGAAGCCUCGUCCUCGCUGGGAGGAGACAGGCCGAGGGCCAUGAUUGCGUGCCGCUGGUCGUGAAGACCAGUGCGCCGCCACCGCCGCCUUGGGAGCGAUGCUGCCGCCGCGUUCAUGCCAUCGCCAGCCGUAGCCAAGAAAAGGAGAGGGAGGGGUGGCGCUGGAGUAUGCGCCGCCGCUGAACGACGAGGAAGACAAAACAAAUUGAACAAUCUUCUGAUCGGAUUUUCCUCUUCUACGGAUGUACGCAUGACCAUGGAUUCUUGCCAUGGACAGGAUUGUGGCUGAUUGAAUCAGUAGCGACAUGCUUUCUCCUCUUAUCGUGUGGCCAUUUUCUCGACGGAGAGCAAAAGUGCGUGAUAACCUGUUUAAAGUAAAAAGUAAAGAACGAGAGAAUUGAAUGAAAGAUGAUUUGUUAGUCUUUA